AUAACCCCACGUGUAUGGAGAUUUCUCUUCAUUAUCUUCUUAUAUUCUUUGGUUUGAGAAAAUUGCAUAAAUGAAAUCUUAGUGUGAUAAUCCAAAGGAGUGUUGACGAUCUAAGCAUCUUGUCUUUAAACUGCUCCACCAUUUUCUUAAGGUAACUAGAUUAAGAUAAUAUUAUUUCACUCUUUUUAUAGUUUCUUGUGAUAUCCAUCCCUAUGAUUCUC
rnacentral:lncRNA from 1 species